rnacentral:tRNA from 1 species
UGCCUCAUAGCUCAAUGGCAGAGCGACGCGCUGAAGGGCGCGGGGGUUGUAGGUUCAAGUCCUACUGGGGCAG